UCUCUUCUGACACAUUUUGCCUUCCCUCUCUCUUCUGUCAGGACACACACACACACACACACACACACACAGUGGAGGUGAAGUCGAGAGGCUUGUCUUAGCGUGCCAUCUGUCCUCGGCGCUGACGUUGGCUCUAAUUACUGCGUCUCCCCUGGCUAAUGCUGCCUCAUUAGGCCGCCGGAGCAUGUGCAGCCGACACAAGCGCUGCCGAGAAUUUGCACCAGGAAACGUGAGCUCGAGCCAUUAUGGGUUCAGGAAAUCUGUCUGGUGCGACAGGCAAUUCACACCAACGGUUAAACGCUCAUUUUGCUUCUCUCUCUUUAAUUCUUCCUCUCUCUCUCUCUCUCUCUCGUGCUCUCUCGCUCCUCUCGCCUAGCUUUGGACAGCGAUUCGGAGGCCCGAGUCCAAGCACCAAAACAAAGGAGUCAAGAAGAAGUCGAGCUCCAAGAGAGACCAGAGAGGCACGCAUGAAUUCACCCGACGUCGACCCAGGAGAGGCAGCACAGAGAGAAUAAGGAAUGACAGGACAGAUUUCAUGGAGGGAUUCAGCGGCAGAUGAAUAAGAGUCUCCGUCAGCGCGUCUCAGACUUCUGCGGCAGGUGGAGGGUGAAAUGUCGACUCGAGGCCCGUUCGCUCAGAUCGGGCUUUGUGCAGCGUUCAUUGGUGAAGGAGUGACUGGACGUUCGUCAUUGUGUUUGCAGCCGGCCGUUGGCGAGCGGGAGCCGGUCCAGCCAUCUUGUGUGGAAAAUUCCGGACUGGGCACGAGCCGGCCAUCUGCAGCUCCAGGCCUUCAGCAGCCAAACGCAGAAACACUCGAGCUACUGGAGGGUUCGGAGGAGGGAGGAAGAAGGAAAUCAACAGCAGAAAUGUCUCCAUGUUGGAAGGAAAAGGUUUGACUAGUCAUGAUUGCAGAGUGAUUACAUUUACUGAAGUCGUUGAGCUUCUGGUACCUUUACUUUAGUCUUUCCAAGGUCCUUUUAGUAGCUGCUGUGGGGCUUUUCAUCAUAUCGCCUGGUCUUCAUCAGCAGCUUUUUUAUUUUGUACAUGUUGGUUUAAACGUGGAGGAUCAGAGUUUAUUCUCUGGAAACAGCAGUUGACAAAAUGAUCACACCAACAGCGAGUAACUGUACUUAGGACACGUCGUGUAAAGACAAUCAUUACAGACGUGCAUUUGUCCCUCCAGCAGUUGAACGUAUUGAUCAGUGUAGGCCGGUUCUUAUUAUUGUAUGAUUGAUUGUAUGUAAAGUGAGAUGUGUGUUUGUGUGCUCGUCACUUAUGAAGGGGAUUCUUUAAAAGUUUUGGUUUGUUACUUUUCUUCUAUGCAGAAAGUCCUUCAGUUGUCUUUCUCGAGAGACGAUAAAAGCAAGCUUGACCUUUGACCUUUUGAUUGCCCUUUGUAGAUCCAGUUUAUACUUUUCUGUAAUAAAAUGUUUUUUAAAAAAAAGUAUAACUGACCCUACUCCUACAAACUCAUCCUAUCAGAUAAAUCUGCCUAUUUCUCCAUAACUGAUAUCCAAUUUGUAAAUUGAUCCCUCACUGUGCUGCUGCCCCGCCCCCAACAUCCUGUUUCAACAGGAAAUACAUCACAUUAAGGAAGUAAUACAUAACAUGAGGCUUUUAACUAGGCCUGGCAUACCUGCAGAGUUUGACGUGUGGGACAGACACACUGUGACUGUUAAUCCACCUCUGAACACCUGAAAAGAUGUUUACCCAGAAUCCUGUGGGGUGUUUGUGGAGAGUUGACCUGGCUCUUCAGGUAGAGAGCCGUGUGUGUGUGUGUGUGUGUGUGUGUGUGUGAAUCACAGCGUGCGGCGGCGGUUGUGCAGUUUCUCCGUUGUUUAAGAGCAGGUCGGGGAGGGAAGGUGACAUCAUCUCUACACCUGAGGCGGCGGAGCUGACACCUCCAUCUCUCAGACAGGCCCCUGGACCAGAACCCAGACGCUCCGGGUUUCACAUCGACUCUCCAUCCUGUGAAUCCAACCCGACCUCGGCAGACACUCCUGCAGACCUUCAGGGCCACCGUCCGCACCUACAGCGGAGUCUGUUUCCUGUUCAAACAGAGUCUUCCCUCUGAGCCUGAGCCCGAUCCUUCUGUCUCAAUGGGACAGACAGGACCAAUCUGCGCAUUUACAUCCUGCAGAGAGACGGGGGCCGCCGGCGGAGCGUCUGCAGGCGGAGGCCGCAGGAGGACUGGGACUCUGCAGGAGGACCGGGACACCGGGGCUGAGCCGCUGCAGCAGCCGAGGAUCGGCUUCUUCCAGCGGAGGAUUUGCAGGUGUGACCACCGCUUCUGUCUGUCCUUUCUGUGUGUCUGAGAACUGCGACGUUUCACAGCUUUAAAAUCGUCCCUGGUCCGUUACACUGGAUUUAAUUAAAUUCCAAUAUAAAUAAUAAUAAUCUAAAUAUACUCUGUGCAGGCUGUCGGUAGGGAAAUAUUUGGAAAUGUAGUAAUAAUAAUAAUAAUAAUAAUAAAUAAUAAUGUCUGAUUUCCGUUUUUGUUGCACUAAAAAUUAGUAUAAGAAAAAUAGAAUUUGAAUCAUUUCUUCGGGUCCCAUUCAACACCAAAUCUCCAAAAUUCAAAUUACAUUCAAACGAAAUGCAGAUGUAAUUUGUUCCAGUGUUUCUGUUUCACAACAUGCGACAGCUUCUUUCUGUUUUCAGCUGAAAAAAAAAGGUUUUUAAGGAGGAAAAGAUCCUCUUUAUCCGUCUUUAUAACCUCACAUCAGUCGGUUUCCAACGUGUAAACAAAACGCUUUAUUUUUUUAUUUCAUUUUAUUUAUAUUUUUUUCAAAUCUGAACACAGGAAGUACAAAGCUUCUGCCCCCCCCCCCCAAAAGGAAACGAGUUGUACAGUUAGUGCCUUCGAUCCUAAAACGAUGAAAAAAUAGAUUUGACUAAGAAGAAGAAGAAGAAGUGCUACAUAAGGAGAUGAUGAGGUAAAUCUGUCCAGGAAGAAGAAAGCAACAGAUGAACGGAUGCAGUGAGAGAAACAAACAGUCCACACAUUAAUAUUAUUAUCAUUAUAUACACAUCAGAUGCAUAGAAUACUUUUUUUUUACAUAAAUACCUACUGUUUUUUUUUUUUUGUUGUUGUUGUUUCCAAAAAGACACAAACUACCAGCAGAAUGAAAAGUGAAACUGCUCCGGGAUCAGCUGGUGUGAGUCCGCAGCGCUGCCGCAGUGCCGCUGAGCAGGGCUGCGUGGGAAACCAGCCAUGACGCUCCUUUUAUCUCCUGCAUCAUCAGUGUCCGGACUUUGAGUCUGCAGUUUUCUUCUUGUUAACGAAUCCAGUUUUAAAAACUAACAAAAUAAUGUGUGUGUAUCCUGGGUGACAUGUUCCUUCAUCACCAUGAACACACACACACACACACACACACUGUAGUUUAUUCUAGUGUUCUUGCAGAACAGAACUUUGUGAAAAGAGGAAAUUCCAGGUUUCUCCAACAGGAAGUGAAGAGUUUAAUAAUCAUCAGGCUGUGAUGUUCAGCACAUUUCACAAGUUACUUCGUGUUGGGGAAAAAAAAUGUUGAAAUGUUCCUUUUUUUUUUUUUGGUGUCUUAAAGCAUUCUGGGAAACGUAGGAAAAUAACCAGUCAAAGCAGAGCUGACGAGACAAGAUGCCUUCUUACAGAAAACACAGACAGCCUCCAUGUAGCCCUCAACAACAGGUAUUUUCUCGUUAAAGGUCUCUUUCAGCAGUUUUUCUGAAAACCUGAACCAUGUCCAUAUUUUAAAUUACGGAUAGCAUCUGUUAGCAACAACUACAAUUCCCAUGAGGCUUUGGCAGCAUGUCAGUGGCCAAGACUAUAUGGAUAUCUGUCGCUGAAUGCUAACAAAGAGAGUGUAAUCUUAGUUAACACGAUUUUGUGUUUUUCUGUCCGGCAGAGUCGCAGAAAUCCGUGAAAGAAACCUUCUCUCCGAAAAUGAAGUUACAGAUGCUCGCGAGGUUCGUGCGCACGUCUCGCGGGACUCGUUACCGAGCAAACCGGAAACACGCUACCUGGCUGGCAACGUGCUAGCACUAGCUGGACUCAUUUGUUAAUGAGCAGCUUGAACACAGCACAUUACAUCACACAGAGAUGCAGCUUGUUUCUGUUAACAAACGAGGGUCGGGCCUGUAACUCUGCUUCCGCAUGUAGACUAAAACCCGGAUUACUCGUCUGAUUUCGGUCUGAAAUGUUGCUGUAAUAAAAGCCUGCGUGGCCGAGCCCUAACAGAGCGGAUGUGAUUUGAUUACAUGAUCAUUUUCCAACUUAACAAGUUGACAAAGACCAACCAAGUGCAGAAUUGAAGCUGUACAUUUCUGUCAACGUAAAACUCGAAAGCUGUUUCUCAGCUUCUUUCUGGAGUCACCAGACACCCGGUUUGAUUCUGACGUUUAUCAUUUUAGAUCAAAGUAUAAAAAAAGUACAGUAGAGAGUUCAGUUAAAAGACUCCGAACUCCUAAUGGAGUCUGGAAUGUAAAGAACAUCACAACCAGAUGCUUUUCAACAGAGUUCGUGUGUUUUUAAAGGAGGAUUCUUUCCUUCAGCUGCUCCGGCUGAGAAAAGUUGAAGUGAAACUUUCAUCCGAGUUUAUGGGAAAUGUUUCCGCCUCAGACUUCCUGCUGCAGGAACCCUGUUUUCCUCUUUCACAGGUUGUCGAGCUGAGCAGAUUUCCUGCGAGCCGGCUGCCGUCUGUUGCAGACAGACGCUGAGAAACCUUCAGCGGAGCAGCUUCUCGCUUUAAAUCGUCUCUUUUUCAGGACGCUGCCGUCGUUUGGCACCAAAGUCGACCGUCGAGAGUUCAGUCGACAGCCGUGGCCGCGUUUUAAGCUCCUCCCUCGUGGCUGAUCAUCGUCUGUACCAGGAGAGCUUUGACCUCCUGCUGUUUGCAUGAGCGCUGAUGCCUUCAGGGACAUCCAUCAGUCCUCGGGAAGGUAAGCUGUCAACAUCUGUGAUGAGUGUGAGAGUGUGUGUGUGUGUGUGUGUGUUGUCUAUAAAUCUGUAAUAAACUGUCUAAAUGUCUAGAAAACGUUAAGUCUUGGCAUGUUUGACAUUCUGACAGAUUAUUGCAACUUUUAGUGGCAAAACCCGAAACAAAUCUGAGCUGAAAUGAAACUGGAAAUAAAGAUUUGGGAGCGAGCAGAGGCAGGUUUGUAAACUCAGGUUCAUCACUUCCUGCAGCGUACCUAAACAGGAAACGCCUCCACCUGACCGCUACUGUUAAAACGCUGAGGUCAUGUCUUGUUACUCUCAGUAACUUUCCAUCCUGUUUAACAAAAGCGAUUUGUGAGCACUGUUCACUUGCAAAUGGUUUCAGUGUCAUGUUGCACAAAUGACUGUCGCUCACAAACUGCGGAGAGAUUUGCAUUUUGCUCUCGCAGGCUCACAGGUACGACCUUUGUUUAGAAACGUGUCAAAAUAAGAGAAGGAAUGCUGCGACGUCACCUUAUUGUGGUGCGGUCACAGAUGCCAUGUUUUUAAAUGAUUAAAUAAAACUGUAUAAUAGUGGUAAUAAUAGUCGUGCAGCCAUUUUUCGAACCAAACCAGAGAGAAAUAUCACUAAUUAUGACCUCAGUAUUUUUUUGCUCUGAAGUCUUUUAAAAAGGCUUUCACAGAUCAUCAGGUACUCGGGAAGCGUCGUGCGAGCGUAGCAGGACGAAAGCGUUUGUUCUGCGCUCAGCUGCAGGAGUUCCUUUCUGCUCGCUCACAUCUACAGACUGAACGCUCAAAACAUCAAUUACACAUUUCAUUCUGUCCUUUUCCUAAUGCAUCUGAAGCCUCUUUACUCUUCCAGACUGAUUCCAGCUCAUUUCUUUCUCUGUUGCUGAGUACUGCCACAUAUUAGUGGUGCGUUCAGUGUCUGCCUUUUACACACGUUUGUCUUUUCUUUUCAGUGCUUCAGGACGUUCAGCGCUCUGUUGACAAAGUCACACACUUUGUAUUUUUAUCUGCUAUUAGGCCAAAGUUAUAAUUUUACAGCAAAU